UACGAAGGGGGCUAGCGUUGCUCGGAAUCACUGGGCGUAAAGCGCACGUAGGCGGCUUCUAAGUCAGGGGUGAAAUCCUGGAGCUCAACUCCAGAACUGCCUUUGAUACUGGAAAGCUUGAGUUCGGGAGAGGUGCGUGGAAUUCCCGGUGUAGCGGUGAAAUGCGUAGAUAUGUGGAGGAACACCGAUGGCGAAGGCAGCCCCCUGGGUUAACACUGACGCUCAUGCACGAAAGCGUGGGGAGCAAACGGG
rnacentral:rRNA from 1 species